rnacentral:tRNA from 1 species
UGGGGUGUGACUCAGUGGUAGAGUGCUUGCCUAGCAUGCAUGAGGCCCUGGGUUCAAUUUCUACACUUCCA